CCUACGGGAGGCAGCAGUGAGGAAUAUUGGUCAAUGGGCGCGAGCCUGAACCAGCCAAGUAGCGUGAAGGAUGACUGCCCUACGGGUUGUAAACUGCUUUUAUAAAGGAAUAAAGUGAGGCACGGGUGCCGUUUUGGAGGUACUGUAUGAAUAAGGAUCGGCGAACUCCGUGCCAGCAGCCGCGGUAAUACGGAGGAUCCGAGCGUUAUCCGGAUUUAUUGGGGUUACAGGGAGCGUAGAUGGGUUGUUUAGUCAGUUGUGAAAGUUUGCGGCUCAACCGUAAAAUUGCAAUUGAUACUGGCAGUCUUGAGUUCAGUUGCGGUAGGCGGAAUUCGUGGUGUAGCGG
rnacentral:rRNA from 1 species